rnacentral:tRNA from 1 species
GCCCCCUUAGCUCAGUGGCUAGAGCGACGCCCUUGUAAUGCGUAGGUCAUCGGUUCAAUCCCGAUAGGGGGCU